AAAAAAGGUACCGCCAACUCGUGAAAGUCGAGCGCAUGAAGAGGAGCUUGCUCCUCUGAUUUACCGCCGGGCGGUGGAGUAACACGUGGGCAACCUGCCCUGUAGACUGUGAUAACUUCGGGAAACCGGAGCUAAUACCGGAUAAUCCAUUUCACCUCAUGGUGAAAUGCUGAAAGGCCCUUUCUGGCGUCACUACCGGAUGGGCCCAUGGAUGGUUAUCUAGUGCAUUAGGGUAACUGCCUACCAAAGCGACCAUGCAUACCCGACCUGAAAGGGUGAUCGGCCACAUUGGGACUGAAACACGGACCAAACUCCUACCCGAGGUCCUACGGGAGAAUCUUCCACGGUGUACUCCAGUCUGAUGGAACAACUGCGCGAGAGUGAUGAAGGUUUUCAUAUCGGAUUUCUCUGUUGAAAGGGAAGAACAAAUGCAAUAAGAAAUGAACGUACCUUGACGGUACCUUAUUAGAAACCCUCGGAUAAAUACGUGCCUAACUACGCGCCAAUACGUACGUGAAAAGCGUUGUCCGGAUUUAUUGGGCGAAUUAUUGCGCGCAAGCGGUUUCUUAAGUCUGAUGUGAAAGCCCACGUGAAAACCGCCGGAGGGACAUUGGAAACUGCAUAGACUUGAGUGCAGAAUUGAAAAGUGGAAAUUCCGAGUGUAAUUCCACAAAUGCGUAGAGAUUUGCGAAGAACACCAGUGGGAAAACGCAGACUUUCUGGUCUGCAACUGACGCUGAGGCGCGAAAGCAUGGGGAGCAAACAGGAUUAGAUACCCUGGUAGUCCAUGCCGUAAACGAUGAGUGCUAAGUGUUAGAGGGUUUCCGCCCUUUAGUGCUGCAGCUAACGCAUUAAGCACUCCGCCUGGGGAGUACGGCCGCAAGGUUGAAACUCAAAGGAAUUGACGGGGGCCCGCACAAGCGGUGGAGCAUGUGGUUUAAUUCGAAGCAACGCGAAGAACCUUACCAGGUCUUGACAUCCCAGUGACCGGUACAGAGAUAGAGUUUUCCCUUCGGGGACAUUGGUGACAGGUGGUGCAUGGUUGUCGUCAGCUCGUGUCGUGAGAUGUUGGGUUAAGUCCCGCAACGAGCGCAACCCUUAAUCUUAGUUGCCAUCAUUUAGUUGGGCACUCUAAGGUGACUGCCGGUGACAAACCGGAGGAAGGUGGGGAUGACGUCAAAUCAUCAUGCCCCUUAUGACCUGGGCUACACACGUGCUACAAUGGACGGUACAAAGAGUCGCUAACUCGCGAGAGCACGCUAAUCCCAUAAAACCGUUCUCAGUUCGGAUUGUAGGCUGCAACUCGCCUACAUGAAGCCGGAAUCGCUAGUAAUCGCGGAUCAGCAUGCCGCGGUGAAUACGUUCCCGGGUCCUUGUACACACCGCCCGUCACCCCUGAAGGGUUUGUAACACCCGAAGUCGGGGAGGUAGCUAAAGGAACCAGGCUAGCGCGUAGAGUUACCUUUG
rnacentral:rRNA from 1 species